ACUCUAGUCCGACUUUGUGAGGAGACAUGAUGGAUGUAGUAUAGAUGGGAACUGGGUGCUUCGUUGUCCAGCGUAAAUGAAAUACCACUGCUAUCAUUGUUUCUUUACUUAUUCAGUGAAAUGGGAACGAAAUUGUAUUUUACUUCAAAGCACAUUCCGGGGUGCAUGGUGUAUCGCUGCGUACCUCGGUAUCCUGUGUUAGAAUCUCAUGAGGCGAGU
rfam:Schistosoma mattheei strain Denwood, Zambia genome assembly, scaffold: SMTD_contig0000171